CAACAGGGAUUGCCUCAGUAACGGCGAGUGAAGCGGCAAUAGCUCAAAUUUGAAAUCUGGCUCUUUCAGAGUCCGAGUUGUAAUUUGUAGAGGAUGCUUCGGCUUACGUUUCGGUCUAAGUUCCUUGGAACAGGACGUCACAGAGGGUGAGAAUCCCGUUUGUGGCCGCGACUUCCGCCAUGUGAAGCUCCUUCGACGAGUCGAGUUGUUUGGGAAUGCAGCUCUAAAUGGGAGGUAUAUUUCUUCUAAAGCUAAAUACCGGCCAGAGACCGAUAGCGCACAAGUAGAGUGAUCGAAAGAUGAAAAGCACUUUGGAAAGAGAGUUAAAAAGUACGUGAAAUUGUUGAAAGGGAAGCGCUUGCGACCAGACUUGCCCGCGGAUGCUCAACCGGUCCUUCGGCCGGUGCACUCUUCCGCGGUCAGGCCAGCAUCAGUUCGAACGGUUGGAUAAAGGCCUUGGGAAUGUGGCUCUCUUCGGGGAGUGUUAUAGCCCUUGGUUCAAUACAGCCUGCUUGGACUGAGGCCCGCGCUUCGGCUAGGAUGCUGGCGUAAUGGUCGUAAGCGGCCCGUCUUGAAACACGGACCAAGGAGUCUAACAUCUAUGCGAGUGUUUGGGUGUCAAACCCGUGCGCGAAAUGAAAGUGAACGGAGGUGGGAACCCUUUGGGUGCACCAUCGACCGAUCCUGAUGUCUUCGGAUGGAUUUGAGUAAGAGCAUAGCUGUUGGGACCCGAAAGAUGGUGAACUAUGCCUGAAUAGGGUGAAGCCAGAGGAAACUCUGGUGGAGGCUCGCAGCGGUUCUGACGUGCAAAUCGAUCGUCAAAUUUGGGUAUAGGGGCGAAAGACUAAUCGAACCAUC
rnacentral:rRNA from 1 species